AUUGAACGCUGGCGGCAUGCCUUACACAUGCAAGUCGAACGGUAACGGGCCUUCGGGUGCCGACGAGUGGCGAACGGGUGAGUAAUACAUCGGAACGUGCCCGAUCGUGGGGGAUAACGAGGCGAAAGCUUUGCUAAUACCGCAUACGAUCUACGGAUGAAAGCAGGGGACCGCAAGGCCUUGCGCGGACGGAGCGGCCGAUGGCAGAUUAGGUAGUUGGUGGGAUAAAAGCUUACCAAGCCGACGAUCUGUAGCUGGUCUGAGAGGAUGAUCAGCCACACUGGGACUGAGACACGGCCCAGACUCCUACGGGAGGCAGCAGUGGGGAAUUUUGGACAAUGGGCGCAAGCCUGAUCCAGCCAUGCCGCGUGCAGGAUGAAGGCCUUCGGGUUGUAAACUGCUUUUGUACGGAACGAAAAGCCUUCUUUUAAUACAGGAGGGGCAUGACGGUACCGUAAGAAUAAGCACCGGCUAACUACGUG
rnacentral:rRNA from 1 species